rnacentral:tRNA from 2 species
GCCCCCAUAGCUCAACUGGAUAGAGCAACUGGCUACGAACCAGUAGGUUGUCCGUUCGAGUCGGACUGGGGGUA